CCCGACCGCUAUCGGGGUAGGGCUAAGCCAUGCGAGUCGCGCGCCCGGGGGCGCCCGGGAGCGGCGCACGGCUCAGUAACACGUGCCCAACCUACCCUCGGGAGGGGGACACCCCCGGGAAACUGGGGCCAAUCCCCCAUAGGGGAAGGGCGCUGGAAGGCCCCCUCCCCGAAAGGACGGCGGCCGAUCCGCCGCCGCCCGCCCGAGGAUGGGGGCACGGCCCAUCAGGUAGUUGGCGGGUUAAAGGCCCGCCAAGCCGAAGACGGGUAGGGGCGGUGAGAGCCGCGAGCCCCGAGAUCGGCACUGAGACAAGGGCCGAGGCCCUACGGGGUGCAGCAGGCGCGAAUACUCCGCAAUGCGGGCAACCGCGACGGGGCUACCCCGAGUGCCGGGCGAAGAGCCCGGCUUUUGCCCGGUCUAAAACGCCGGGAGAAUAAGCGGGGGGCAAGUCUGGUGUCAGCCGCCGCGGUAAUACCAGCUCCGCGAGUGGUCGGGGUGUUUACUGGGCUUAAAGCGCCCGUAGCCGGCCCGGCAAGUCGCUCCUGAAAUCCCAGGGCUCAACCCUGGGGCAGGGGGCGAUACUGCCGGGCUAGGGGGCGGAAGAGGCCGCCGGUACCCCAGGGGUAGGGGCGAAAUCCGAUAAUCCCUGGGGGACCACCAGUGGCGAAGGCGCCCGGCUGGAACGCGCCCGACGGUGAGGGGCGAAAGCCGGGGGAGCGAACCGGAUUAGAUACCCGGGUAGUCCCGGCUGUAAACUAUGCGGGCCAGGUGUCGGGCGGGCGUUAGAGCCCGCCCGGUGCCGCAGGGAAGCCGUUAAGCCCGCCGCCUGGGGAGUACGGCCGCAAGGCUGAAACUUAAAGGAAUUGGCGGGGGGGCACACAAGGGGUGGAGCCUGCGGCUCAAUUGGAGUCAACGCCGGGAACCUCUACCGGGGGCGACAGCAGGAUGACGGCCAGGCUAACGACCUUGCCCGACGCGCUGAGGGGAGGUGCAUGGCCGUCGCCAGCUCGUGCUGUGAAGUGUCCUGUUAAGUCAGGCAACGAGCGAGACCCCCGCCCCUAGUUGCGACCCUGCGGGCGACCGCGGGGGCACACUAGGGGGACUGCCGCCGCUAAGGCGGAGGAAGGAGGGGGCCACGGCAGGUCAGCAUGCCCCUAAACCCCCGGGCUGCACGCGGGCUACAAUGGCGGGGACAGCGGGAUCCGACCCCGAAAGGGGGAGGCAAUCCCUGAAACCCCGCCGUAGUUGGGAUCGGGGGCUGAAACUCGCCCCCGUGAACCUGGAAUCCCUAGUAACCGCGCGUCAUCAUCGCGCGGUGAAUACGUCCCUGCCCCUU
rnacentral:rRNA from 1 species